rnacentral:lncRNA from 1 species
AAUGUUAUAAAAGCAACUUUAUAGCAAUUCUCAUUAGGGUUUUCUAAUAGAAAUUAGGUGAAACAUUUUUCUCUCAUUUUCUACAUAGAGGCCGGCCACUUAGAGGAUUUUUACUAGCAUCUAAAAUCUCUCUAAGUCAUCCAUAUCAUCUUCACAAUAUACAACCUUGGUGAAGAGACUUAGAGACAUCAAGCUUUUGAUGUUUUUGGAGAACAAAUCCUUUUUUCCUCAAAUCAUCAAAGGAGCACUAAAGGGAGGAAAACACAAGGAGGAUUCAAAGAGCUUGGAGGUGACUUGAAGGCCCUCCACUUGGGUGAAUCCCUUGUGUAAUCAAGGAUGAGCUUCAAGGGUAAAGAAUCACUAAAUCUUUACUUAUCUUUAAUGUUGUUAAAGAGUUUGUUUUGGUUCACCAUAUACUAGGCUUUGAAAGUCAUGGGUUUUAUGAAUUGUUUUUUAAUGCAUGCCUACUUUAAAGUGUUAAUAGCUUGCAUGAGUAUUCAAAUGUUCAUACUUGUUCUUAGCUAGGACAAAAUUUUUCCUUCAAGUGGUAUCAGAGCCUAGGCCUAGUGUAUGGUGAAUCCUUUUGGGUUUUGUGAUGUUCAUAUUUUGUGAUUUAAAUGUUGUAAAUGUUACAAGCUUUGUUCUUGCCUUUGAAUAUAUAAAUUUUGCUAGAAAAUUUAGCAUCUCAAAUGUUGUAGAUGUAUUUCAUUUAAGCAUGAAUAUUGGAACUAAAAUUUGGUGCUAUGAGUUUUGGGAAAUUCGGCCAAAUCCUUAGGGUGAUUUUUUGGGUUCAUGUUUGUCUUGUUAAAAUGGUUUUAAGGUGAUUUUUGGAACCCCUAAGUACCCUAGGAUAUUAGCCCUCUUUUGAGUGGUGAAAAAUUGAGUUUUGGUGAAUGAAAACAUCCAUGGAGCUAUUAUGAGUUUUUCAUGUUUGUUCUUCAUGUUCUUGAAGUUCUUGCCAAGAACAAAAAAGUUUUGAAGUUUUGAUUUAAAGGUUUUAUGUUUUUCAUAAAGUUUUGGUUUAUUAAUUUUGUAUUAUAACUUAAGGGUGAAGAAAGGAAAAUGUCAUUAAUGUUUACAAAACAUUUUCUUACAUUUUCUUACAAGUCUUUAAAGUUUGCAAAGAUUUUCUUCACCAACCAAUCCACUUGUUUAAGUACUUUAAUCAACUUGCAAAAACUUUUUCAAAAAUUUAAAAUUUUCACUUGUUCACUCCAAAUGGCCGGCCACCCCUAGUGGGGGUGCUUUUGGGGCCUUUUGUGCAAUUACAUAAAGUUUUAGAUACUUUUGUGUAUUUGCAUUUUGGCCCAAAAGUUUACGUUUUUACGUUAAGGCCCUAAAACUCUAAAGGACAAAUUGUUUUGAUCCCUUAAUGAUGUUCUUACAUUAUUAAAAUUUUGGGAUCUAGUUGUAUUUACAUGAAGUUGUGGACUAUUGUGUUUAUACAAAGUGACCCCAAAAGUUUUUGUAUUUGCAUUAUGGCCCAAUUGUUGUGGUCAUAGUUUCCUUUUGGCCCAAAUAAAAUGAGAACAAAAUUGUUUUGUCUCUUUAAUGAGAAUUGGAUUUUCAUUCUAUUUAGUUCCAUUUAAAUCAAUUCUAUGGAUCCAAAAAUCAAUUGUUUAAAGUUGUUUUCUUAGUUAAUAUAAUUGAUUAAGAAAAGGGUGAUUAUGAACCAAAGGCCACGAUAAUUGAGCUAUGUGAUUGGCCGAUAUACAUUAUGAAUGUUUGGGUUUUAGUAGUGUAGAUUUGAAUGUAAUUUGAUUAAUUCAAUUUGUUGUAAAUGGACAUAAGUCCAUCAUUUGAUUUGUGUUGUAAAAGGGCAUAAGCCCUUAUUAUUAUUAUUUCAUGUAUUCCUAUUUGUUUAUGUGUAUGCAAAAUGGAAUAGUUGGGUCCAACACCCAAUAGGAAAUAA